GUCAACGAUUUACUGUCCACUUUAUCCCUUUUACUGGAAACAUCUGAAUCAUAGUGUUUGCUAUCAUUUCUCCCAACUUCCUUCCUGACUAAACAUAACUAUCCAUUCCUUCCUUAUGGCUCCUGGAGAGGGAGGCUUUGCCCGAGCCCGGUCUUCCUGUGGUGUCCAUGUGGCGUUUAACUCCACGCCGGUGCGUUGUGCCAAGUCGCGGUUCUCUAAGGUGAACGGCGCCCGUGACCUCGGCCUUGGGCUGAGCGAAAAAGUGCCGAUGAUGACGCAAAACGCGUGCGUCUUCCUUCCGCCGCCUCACACACAUCCACGGUUUGAUGUUUUUGGGAGCGGGGUUGCGGGAAUGGACGACCACAAAGAGUGGACGCUAUCAGCUGGCCUACGCGUGAGGACUUUAGCCCCAGCUCAGGGCAAGCUUCUAAACCAUGUGAGGAAACCCAUGCAAACUCCACACAGUAAGAACCUGAGUCAAACCCAGCUCUCAAACUACAGGUCUGGUCAGGUGGCGGGACCAUUCCCACGGCCCUCUCACUGGCAGACCAUCGAGCACACAAGUGUGUGCCAACAGCCAUUUUGUCUGCUGGAGCAGCCCAAGAGGAACUGGCUCAUCUGUCUGGUGUGCUUUACCCAGGCCUCCCCUGUGGGUGCAAGUGUGAGGUGGGGUGAGGCAAGUGAGUUGUUGUCUCUGGAACUGGUGCAUCAUGACUGUGGAAUACCUCUGUCCACACAGCUGAGUGGGUCCGAGGAGUGAGGUGAGUGCUGCAUACAUGGGGUUCUUGCUUUUGUAGGUGGUUAGAUUUUUUUUUUUUUGUUAAAUAAAUUUUACUCAAAGGACUUACA
rnacentral:lncRNA from 1 species